AUACGGAGGAUGCGAGCGUUAUCCGGAUUUAUUGGGUUUAAAGGGUGCGUAGGCUGUGCGUUAAGUCAGGGGUGAAAUGCCGUCGCUCAACGACGGAGCUGCCCUUGAUACUGGCGUGCUGGAGUACGGAUGCCGUUGGAGGAAUGAGUGGUGUAGCGGUGAAAUGCUUAGAUAUCACUCAGAACACCGAUUGCGAAGGCAUCUGACGAAUCCGUCACUGACGCUGAGGCACGAAAGCGUGGGGAUAGAACAGGAUUAGAUACCCUGGUAUUCCACGCCGUAAACGAUGAUGACUAACCGUCGGCGAUAGACAGCCGGUGGCCAAGCGAAAGCGAUAAGUCAUCCACCUGGGGAGUACGUGGGCAACGAUGAAACUCAAAUGAAUUGACGGGG
rnacentral:rRNA from 1 species